GGAUGUGAGGAUGAUCUGGCUACGAUAUCUGUUACCCCGUUGGUCAGUAGGGUUGAUUCCACUGAUCUGGCUGGCUAGAUCUCUCCUUCCUCUCCUUCCUCCCUCACUGCUCUUUGUGCAAACCUCCACCCUCCCGAGGUUGAGACUGCACUGGGUGGAAGAUUGCUCCUCGCUCAAGGGUAUAGGAGUAGCUGCGCUGCCCUUCUAGAGCCUCCCCAAACAAGCUCUCAGGGAUAGAGAGCUAGUUCUCCCUUGUGUUAGUACUGGGAGUAUGAAAUGCUUUGUUUUUUUUUUACAGUUUGUGAUAUUUUAAUAGGUUUUAAAAAUGUCUUUGA
rnacentral:snRNA from 1 species